AUUCAGAAGAGGAGAAGUGUAAGCGAGUGUCCAAACUGUCACAUCCACCCAGACAGACAAAGUGUUACGACUCAACAAUAGAGGAGGGUAACACGUGUGGAGGAAGGAGGCAUCGAGUAUCAUCACUACUUUUGGCGCUACUGCUUUUAAAAAGUUUUCUGUCCUAGCAAAGAAGGAAAAGGCAAGAAGUUAGCCAGGCGCCAUCUUGGAUACAGGAAUCUUGAUAAUGGCUGAAACACAAGAGCGUACCAACAAGAGUUUGGCCAUGGAAUACAUGCCUCAUCCAUCCCUACUGAGUCCAUGUCAACACAUUCACAACAGACCCUCGUCUAGCUAUCCAUGGAUAAUGUUGCCUGUACAUCUUCAAAUUUGCUGAGGAUCAACAAGUGUUUUUAAAGUGAUAUUGUAGCCAGUUCCUCAAGUGUCAAGAAGUGUUGACGUGUGAACGUAACGGAUGUUUGUUAUAGCCAGCUGUUGUUUUUGCUUGAUUCUUCAAGAGUGGAAGGAUAUUUGCAUUGAAAUAAUGGAAACUAAUAUAAAGAAUCUAUACCUGAUUUUGUUAAUACUAAUGAUAUAUUGUUUAACUAUACCUGUUCAAGAUGAUUGAUCUUCAAAUCAAGUGAUGUAGUUCUCCAAAGAUCAACUCUUUCAGUUUCCAUACAGACUGCAUGCAUGCUUAACUAUAAGAUGUUUCAACAUUCAUGAAGUAUGUGUGGAUUAUAGUCCUCUAUGUGGAUAAAUCAAUGUCAGGGUCAUUCCUGAUGCCAAGGUCUUGUCCCCAAAGCGGAUAUUACACAUUUACUGUAUUUGUGUGCAAGGAAAAGCAACAUUUUGGCAGGAUGUGUUCAACACUGCUGACUAAGAGCUUAGAAAAGUCAGAUUUUGUCAAACAAUUGGCCUUCCAUAAUGUACAUACUGUAAAAUUGUUGUUUUUAUUCACUGAGCCUUAAUGAGGUGAUGAUUUCUGUGAGGACGUUAAUAUUAGGGAUCAUGGACCUGUAGAAUGUUGGAAAGAAAUGUUAUUCUUCUUCAGUGAGGAAUCUGUUUGGGGCAGUCACUGAUAGUCUAGGUGUAUGUUGGAGGGAACACACGCAGGAUGUAUUGACCUGUUGCUUGAUUCAUCGAUGAAGCCUCGGAUGUAUCGACCUGUUGCUUGAUUCAUUGGUGAAGGCUUGGAUGGAUCAUCCUGUUGCUAGAUACAUCAAAGAAGGCUCGGAUGUAUCAACCUGUUGCAUGAUUCAUUGGUGAAGGCUUGGAUGUAUCAACCUGUUUCUUGAUUCAUUGGUGAAGGCUUGGAUGUAUCGACCUGUUGCUUGAUUCAUCAAUGAAGGCUUGGAUGGUUCAAGGUGUUGCAAGAUUCAUCAAAGAAGGCAUGGGUGCAUCAACCUCUUGCUUGAUUCAUUGGGGAAUGCUUGGAUGGAUCAAGGUAUUGCUAGAUUCCUCAAAGAAUGUAUAUAUGCAUUGACCUGUUGCUAGAUUCUUCGGGUAAGGCAUGGAUGGAUCAAUGUAUGUAUAGAUUCAUCAAAGAAGGCAUGGAUGGUAGUCUAGGUGUAUGUUUAAGGGAGCACAUGCCUGUUGCAAGGUUACCAAGGAAGUCUAGGAUGCAUCGAACUGUUGCUGGAUUCAUUUGGGAAGUUUUGGAUGAAUCAAGGUAUUGCUAGAUUCAUCAAAGAAGGCAUGGAUGCACCGACUCAUUGCUUGAUUCAUUGGGGAAGUCUAGAAGCAUUAAUCUGUUUCUAGAUUCAUUGGAGAGGCUUGAAUGAAUCAACCUGUUGCUUGAUUCAUCUAAGAAGGCAUCGAUAAUAGUCUAGGUUUAUGUUGGGCUGAAUACAAGCCUGUUGCUAGGUUACUGAGGAAGUCUAGAAUGCAUUGACCUGUUGCUAAAUUCAUCAAUGAAGGCAUGGACAGAUCAGCCCGUUGAUAGAUUCAUCAAAGAAGGCAUGGGAGCAUCGACCCACUUGUAGCGUCACUUGUAGCGUGAUUGAUCAAGGGGAAGGCUUGGAUGCAUUCAUCUGUUACCAGACUGCAAUCAGAGGACAUUGAUGAAGUUCUCAGUCGUAGGAAUGCAAUGGGAAGAAAGAUAUUUCUCAGACACAAGCUGAUGUUUUGACCAAGUGGAGAAUGCAGUGGGAAGAAAGAUAUUUCACAGAGACAAACUGAUGUUUUGACCAAGUGGAGAAUGCAGUGGGAAGAAAGAGUUUUCACUGAGACAAACUGAUGUUUUGACCAAGUGGAGAAUGCAGUAAGGAGAAAGAUAUUUCACAGAGACAAACUGAUGUUUUGACCAAGUGGAGAAUGCAGUGGGAGAAAGAUAUUUCACAGAGAUAAACUGAUGUUUUGACUGACCAAGUGGAUAAUGCAGUGGGAAGAAAGAUAUUUCACAGAGAUAAACUGAUGUUUUGACCAAGUGGAGAAUGCAGUAAGGAGAAAGAUAUUUCACAGAGACAAACUGAUGUUUUGACCAAGUGGAGAAUGCAGUAAGGAGAAAGAUAUUUCACAGAGACAAACUGAUGUUUUGACCAAGUGGAGAAUGGAUUGGGAAGAAAGAUAUUUCACAGAGACAAACUGAUGUUUUGACCAAGUGGAGAAUGCAGUAAGGAGAAAGAUAUUUCACAGAGACAAACUGAUGUUUUGACCAAGUGGAGAAUGCAAUGGGAAGAAAGAUAUUUCACAGAGACAAACUGAUGUUUUGACCAAGUCGAGAAUGCAGUAGGGAGAAAGAUAUUUCACAGAGACAAACUGAUGUUUUGACCAAGUGGAGAAUGCAGUAAGGAGAAAGAUAUUUUACAGAGACAAACUGAUGUUUUGACCAAGUGGAGAAUGCAGUGGGAAGAAAGAUAUUUCACAGAGACAAACUGAUGUUUUGACCAAGUGGAGAAUGCAGUGGGGAGAAAGAUAUUUCACAGAGACAAACUGAUGUUUUGACCAAGUGGAGAAUGCAGUGGGGAGAAAGAUAUUUCACAGAGACAAACUGAUGUUUUGACCAAGUGGAGAAUGCAGUAAGGAGAAAGAUAUUUCACAGAGAUAAACUGAUGUUUUGACCAAGUGGAGAAUGCAGUAAGGAGAAGUAUAUUUCACAAAGACAAACUGAUGUUUUGACCAAGUGGAGAAUGCAGUAAGGAGAAGUAUAUUUCACAGAGACAAACUGAUGUUUUGACCAAGUGGAGAAUGCAGUAAGGAGAAAGAUAUUUCACAGAGACAAACUGAUGUUUUGACCAAGUGGAGAAUGCAGUAAAGAGAAAGAUAUUUCACAGAGACAAACUGAUAUUUUGACCAAGUGGAUAAUGCAGUAAGGAGAAAGAUAUUUCACAGAGACAAACUGAUGUUUUGACCAAGUGGAGAAUGCAGUAAAGAGAAAGAUAUUUCACAGAGACAAACUGAUAUUUUGACCAAGUGGAUAAUGCAGUAAGGAGAAAGAUAUUUCACAGAGACAAACUAAUGUUUUGACCAAGUGGAGAAUGCAGUAAGGAGAAGUAUAUUUCACAGAGACAAACUGAUGUUUUGACCAAGUGGAGAAUGCAGUAAGGAGAAGUAUAUUUCACAGAGACAAACUAAUGUUUUGACCAAGUGGAGAAUGCAGUAAGGAGAAAGAUAUUUCACAGAGACAAACUGAUGUUUUGACCAAGUGGAGAAUGCAGUAAGGAGAAGUAUAUUUCACAGAGACAAACUGAUGUUUUGACCAACUGGAUAAUGCAGUAAGGAGAAAGAUAUUUCACAGAGACAAACUGAUGUUUUGACCAAGUGGAGAAUGCAGUAAGGAGAAAGAUAUUUCACAGAGACAAACUGAUGUUUUGACCAAGUGGAGAAUGCAGUAAGGAGAAAGAUAUUUCACAGAGACAAACUGAUGUUUUGACCAAGUGGAGAAUGCAGUAAGGAGAAAGAUAUUUCACAGAGACAAACUGAUGUUUUGACCAAGUGGAGAAUGCAGUGGGAAGAAAGAUAUUUCACAGAGACAAACUGAUGUUUUGACCAACUGGAUAAUGCAGUAAGGAGAAAGAUAUUUCACAGAGACAAACUGAUGUUUUGACCAAGUGGAGAAUGCAGUGGGAAGAAAGAUAUUUCACAGAGACAAACUGAUGUUUUGACCAAGUGGAGAAUGCAGUGGGAAGAAAGAUAUUUCACAGAGACAAACUGAUGUUUUGACCAACUGGAUAAUGCAGUAAGGAGAAAGAUAUUUCACAGAGACAAACUGAUGUUUUGACCAAGUGGAUAAUGCAGUAAGGAGAAAGAUAUUUCACAGAGACAAACUGAUGUUUUGACCAACUGGAUAAUGCAGUAAGGAGAAAGAUAUUUCACAGAGACAAACUGAUGUUUUGACCAACUGGAUAAUGCAGUAAGGAGAAAGAUAUUUCACAGAGACAAACUGAUGUUUUGACCAAGUGGAGAAUGCAGUGGGAAGAAAGAUAUUUCACAGAGACAAACUGAUGUUUUGACCAAGUGGAGAAUGCAGUAAGGAGAAAGAUAUUUCACAGAGACAAACUGAUGUUUUGACCAAGUGGAGAAUGCAGUAAGGAGAAAGAUAUUUCACAGAGACAAACUGAUGUUUUGACCAAGUGGAGAAUGCAGUGGGAAGAAAGAUAUUU